AACCCUGGGAAACUGGGGCUAAUACCGGAUGGCUCGCAUCUCUCGCAUGGGGGGUGUGGGAAAGGUUCUCUCCUGUGAGGGGGGGUUCCGGCCUGGGAGGGGCUCGCGGCCCAUCAGCUUGUUGGUGCGGUGAGGGCGUACCAAGGCGAUGACGGGUAGCCGGCCUGAGAGGGUGAUCGGCCACACUGGGACUGAGACACGGCCCAGACUCCUACGGGAGGCAGCAGUGGGGAAUUUUGCGCAAUGGGCGGAAGCCUGACGCAGCGACGCCGUGUGGGGGAGGACGGCCUUCGGGUUGUAAACCCCUUUCGGCCCUGACGAAUGUGACGGUAGGGGCUAAAGAAGCGCCGGCUAACUACGUGCCAGCAGCCGCGGUAAUACGUAGGGCGCGAGCGUUGUCCGGAUUUACUGGGCGUAAAGGGCUCGUAGGCGGUUUGUCGCGUCGGUCGUGGAAAUGUGCGGCUUAACCGGGCACGUGCGGCCGAUACGGGCAGACUCGAGGGCGGUAGGGGCAAGCGGAAUUCCUGGUGUAGCGGUGAAAUGCGCAGAUAUCAGGAGGAACACCGAUGGCGAAGGCAGCUUGCUGGGCCGUUCCUGACGCUGAGGAGCGAAAGCAUGGGGAGCGAACAGGAUUAGAUACCCUGGUAGUCCAUGCUGUAAACGUUGGGCGCUAGGUGUGGGGACCGGGUGAUGGUGUCCGUGCCGUAGCUAACGCAUUAAG
rnacentral:rRNA from 1 species